rnacentral:rRNA from 1 species
GUCGAGCGAACAGAUAAGGAGCUUGCUCCUUUGACGUUAGCGGCGGACGGGUGAGUAACACGUGGGUAACCUACCUAUAAGACUGGGAUAACUUCGGGAAACCGGAGCUAAUACCGGAUAACAUUUGGAACCGCAUGGUUCUAAAGUGAAAGAUGGUUUUGCUAUCACUUAUAGAUGGACCCGCGCCGUAUUAGCUAGUUGGUAAGGUAACGGCUUACCAAGGCAACGAUACGUAGCCGACCUGAGAGGGUGAUCGGCCACACUGGAACUGAGACACGGUCCAGACUCCUACGGGAGGCAGCAGUAGGGAAUCUUCCGCAAUGGGCGAAAGCCUGACGGAGCAACGCCGCGUGAGUGAUGAAGGGUUUCGGCUCGUAAAACUCUGUUAUUAGGGAAGAACAAACGUGUAAGUAACUGUGCACGUCUUGACGGUACCUAAUCAGAAAGCCACGGCUAACUACGUGCCAGCAGCCGCGGUAAUACGUAGGUGGCAAGCGUUAUCCGGAAUUAUUGGGCGUAAAGCGCGCGUAGGCGGUUUCUUAAGUCUGAUGUGAAAGCCCACGGCUCAACCGUGGAGGGUCAUUGGAAACUGGGAAACUUGAGUGCAGAAGAGGAAAGUGGAAUUCCAUGUGUAGCGGUGAAAUGCGCAGAGAUAUGGAGGAACACCAGUGGCGAAGGCGACUUUCUGGUCUGUAACUGACGCUGAUGUGCGAAAGCGUGGGGAUCAAACAGGAUUAGAUACCCUGGUAGUCCACGCCGUAAACGAUGAGUGCUAAGUGUUAGGGGGUUUCCGCCCCUUA